rnacentral:rRNA from 1 species
UAGGGAAUCUUCACAAUGGACGAAAGUCUGAUGGAGCAACGCCGCGUGAGUGAAGAAGGUUUUCGGAUCGUAAAGCUCUGUUGUUGGUGAAGAAGGAUAGAGGUAGUAACUGGCCUUUAUUUGACGGUAAUCAACCAGAAAGUCACGGCUAACUACGUGCC